UUAUAGAGAGUCCAAGAGAAAUAUAUUUAAUGGACUAAGGAAGUUAUAUUAUAUAAGCAAGCCCAAUUAAUUAAUUAAGUAUGAGACUUGUAGAUAAUAUGAUUUAAGGGCGAUUAAAUUAAUAAUCUAGCCUAGCAUAUUAUGUAUGGGACAAGAAUUAUAAAGGCCCAAUCUAAUUUGUAGAGGAAGCCUAAUUUUAUUUUUGUUAGUAAGUAAUACAAGUAAAUAAGGCUAGCUCAAUGGAAUUAAUUAAUGGCCCAAACUAAGCUUACUUGUG
rnacentral:lncRNA from 1 species